GACGAACCGUGCGAACGUUAUUCGGAAUCACUGGGCUUAAAGCGCGUGUAGGCGGAUGGGUGCGUCGGCUUCUGAAAGCCCCCGGCUCAACCGGGGAAGUGGGGCCGAAACGACCCGUCUGGAGGGACGUAGGGGGAUCUGGAACUUCCGGUGGAGCGGUGAAAUGCGUUGAGAUCGGAAGGAACGCCCGUGGCGAAAGCGAGAUCCUGGACGUCUUCUGACGCUGAGACGCGAAAGCUAGGGGAGCAAACGGG
rnacentral:rRNA from 1 species